rnacentral:rRNA from 1 species
GGGAUUGCCCCAGUAACGGCGAGUGAAGCGGCAACAGCUCAAAUUUGAAAUCUGGCCCCCCCGCGGGCCCGAGUUGUAAUUUGCAGAGGAUGCUUUUGGCGCGGCGCCUUCCGAGUGCCCUGGAACGGGACGCCAUAGAGGGUGAGAGCCCCGUCUGGUCGGACGCCCAGCCUCUGUAAAGCUCCUUCGACGAGUCGAGUAGUUUGGGAAUGCUGCUCUAAACGGGAGGUAUAUGUCUUCUAAAGCUAAAUACUGGCCAGAGACCGAUAGCGCACAAGUAGAGUGAUCGAAAGAUGAAAAGCACUUUGAAAAGAGGGUUAAACAGUACGUGAAAUUGUUGAAAGGGAAGCGCUUGUGACCAGACUCGGGCGCGGCGAAUCACCCGGCGUUCUCGCCGGUGCACUUUGACGCGCCCGGGCCAGCAUCAGCUCGCCGCGGGGGACAAAGGCGCCGGGAACGUGGCUCCCCAGGGAGUGUUAUAGCCCGGCGCGCAACGCCCCGCGGCGGACUGAGGUUCGCGCGUCCGCAAGGAUGCUGGCGUAAUGGUCACCAGUGACCCGUCUUGAAACACGGACCAAGGAGUCGUCCUCGUAUGCGAGUGUUCGGGUGUCAAACCCCUACGCGCAAUGAAAGUGAACGCGGGUGAGAGCCUCGCGGCGCAUCAUCGACCGAUCCUGAUGUUCUCGGAUGGAUUCGAGUAGGAGCAUACGGGGCCGGACCCGAAAGAAGGUGAACUAUGCCUGUGUAGGGUGAAGCCAGAGGAAACUCUGGUGGAGGCUCGCAGCGGUUCUGACGUGCAAAUCGAUCGUCAAACAUGGGCAUGGGG